AGUUUUGGAGUGGGUUCAUAGUCGCCGAAAACUAUACCGAAGUCAACGUUUCAGUUUGCUGCACCCGUAAAGGUGAGGAUACACCCCUUUCUCGCUUUGUUUUCAUUUUUUUUAUCUUCAUCUAUUUUUAAUUCUGUUAAAUAUAAGAGGUAUUUUGAUUUCAAGCUACGUUGUUGUUGGUAACCUGGCCCUGCGGGUAGAUAUUGUGGUUUGUGAAUCAAAAAAUUAUUUGAUGUGAAAUACAUGACUUUAUACAUUUGUUUAUCUUGUUUGAUUGUUAUGGUUCUUUGGGAAUCUGGUCUAUGAGCGUGAUUUGAAUAUAAAAGUUUAUGUUGUGUGUACGCGAGUUUGUUAGUAUAUGAAUAAGUCGCUUUCGGAUUUGCUGUUAACUCUUUAAAAAAUGAAUUUGGGUGUGAAUUUGACCAAUCUUUUGUCUUCGUUACUGAUCCCAAAAUAUGCUUAUAUUUGAUUUCAAUUAAAUUACAUCAUCACUGAUUUGUGGGAAAACGCUCGAUUCCUUUUUUUACCUGUUUGGUCGGUGUUGUCUUUCAUUAUCUGUGGUUUAAUUUCUCAAAUUUGGUGUUGUUUUAAAUUUUCAUAAUUUGAGGACAUUCCCUUCUUACUGUUGAAAGUUGAUUUGCAAAAGAAAAAUGUGUCCCAUCUUAAUCGCUCAAACAUUUUCAAAUUGCUUUUGUAAGAGGUUUUUUUAAAGCCAAAAGAUCGUUUGAGAAUGUUGUGGUAGCAGUUGAAAAUGUUGAAAUAGUUUGCAUUGUUUAUCUUUGGUAAAAUUGAGUUGAAGGAAAAUUUUCUUGCCUCAAGCGAAAAUAUGAAUCUAUGUUUAUUACUAUGAUAGAGCCUUUUCAUUAGGAUUUUUUUUAAUCAAAUGGGUAUUGAUUAAAUUGAUUAGAGAAUGUAGACAUGCUCCAUUGUUUAGUCUAUGUGCGUACAUACGUAGAAUAGUAAAUGUUAAAAGAUAAAAGCUAAAUUUGUAUAGAAUUAAUAUUGUAAGUGGAUUGCAUCAUAUGCUUUUUUGUAAGAAAAUUACAUGUGGGUGUUGUAAAUGUGUAUGAUCGUGAAAUAUGUUUCCCCAAAAAGUAACGUGAUCCCCUUUUUUGUCGUGUUCUACUGUAUUAAAAAAAAGGGAAAAGGAUCAAAUGUUUUAAGUAAAUAAAAACAAAAGAUAAGAUUGUUUUUAUGCUUGGAUGUGCAGAGUUCUCAUUUUUUUCUUUUUCGCUGGUGGUUCUUAGUAAUAUUAUUUGCCUUAAUAUGGUCUCAACAAUAUGUUUUACUUGUGGGUUUAGCUACUAAGACCCCCAGCAUCAUGUUUUUUUAAACAAGUGUAUGUGACACCUCUUGCUACUCUUACGUAAUUCUUAACAUAUAUUAUAGCCAUGUUUUCUCCUUAAUCCAUUUACAUAUAUUGUAGCUAUGUUUGCUCCUUAAUCCCUCUUUGCAUUAUCAUGAUAACUAGUCCAUUUUAUAUAUGCCACACAACUUAAAUUAUCCAAGUGUGUAUCAUUUAGUUCACUUUAUUGAUUAUAUUUUUAAUACUUAUCAUUUUUUGUUACAUGUGAACUCGGGAGUUGGAGUUCCGCAAUGGAAAUCACUUUGAUCCAAUGUCGGGUCAAAUGUUAAUAGGAGUGCAGAGCCUCGGAUGUCCGGUGAAUUAGGAGCCUAAACUCCUAAAUGGAGUUUAAUAUUUUUC
rnacentral:lncRNA from 1 species